AGAGUUUGAUCCUGGCUCAGAUUGAACGCUGGCGGCAUGCCUUACACAUGCAAGUCGAACGGCAGCACGGGAGCAAUCCUGGUGGCGAGUGGCGAACGGGUGAGUAAUAUAUCGGAACGUGCCCAGUCGUGGGGGAUAACGUAGAGAAAUUUACGCUAAUACCGCAUACGAUCUAAGGAUGAAAGCGGGGGACCGUAAGGCCUCGCGCGAUUGGAGCGGCUGAUAUCAGAUUAGGUUGUUGGUGAGGUAAAAGCUCACCAAGCCGACGAUCUGUAGCUGGUUUGAGAGAACGACCAGCCACACUGGGACUGAGACACGGCCCAGACUCCUACGGGAGGCAGCAGUGGGGAAUUUUGGACAAUGGGCGAAAGCCUGAUCCAGCAAUGCCGCGUGCAGGAAGAAGGCCUUCGGGU
rnacentral:rRNA from 1 species